GACGAACGCUGGCGGCGUGCUUAACACAUGCAAGUCGAACGGAAAGGCCCUGCUUUUGUGGGGUGCUCGAGUGGCGAACGGGUGAGUAACACGUGAGUAACCUGCCCUUGACUUUGGGAUAACUUCAGGAAACUGGGGCUAAUACCGGAUAGGAGCUCCUGCUGCGUGGUGGUGGUUGGAAAGUUUCGGCGGUUGGGGAUGGACUCGCGGCUUAUCAGCUUGUUGGGGGGGUAGUGGCUUACCCAGGCUUUGAAGGGUAGCCGGCCUGAGAGGGUGACCGGCGACAUGGGUCCUAAGAUACGGCCCAGACGCCUACGGGAGGCAGCAGUGGGGAAUAUUGCACAAUGGGCGGAAGCCUGAUGCAGCAACGCCGCGUGCGGGAUGCCGGCCUUCGGGUUGUAAACCGCUUUCGCCGGUGACGAAGCGUUAGUGACGGUAAUGGGUAAAGAAGCACCGGCUAACUACGUG
rnacentral:rRNA from 1 species